CAUUUUCUUUUUUUAUGGGAUGCCUGAUGUCUUAAGAAAAAAAAAAAAUUGUGAACCUGACUGGUGUAAUAGUGGUCAAAUACAUGUUUUCUUUUUGUUACGAACUAGACAAAUUCUAUUGACUAUGAUUUAUGAUCUGGAAUUGCAUAUGUGUAUGUGCCCCUUCUUGUUAAAAAAACAAAAACAAAAAUCAUUGUGAUUCAGUCCUUAUGGUUUUAUAUCAAAUAGGCUGGCCGGAGUUGGAUUAAUAUUUGGUCAGUUCAGUAGGGACCCAACAAAUUUUGAUCAAUCUGAUAGUUUCUAAAGCCUUGUACACGCAAUCGGAUUUUACGACAGCAAAUACCCCCUGCGGAGCUAUAGUGGUGGAUCUGUCCCGGUAGGGAGAAUGAUGACCAUUGCUAGUGACUAAAGCUGCUGGCAAUAAUCGCUUGAAAAAUCGAACUGGCUGGUUUUAACUAAGUUGAUCGAUCAACUUGGGAUCAAUCACCCCGGCUGAACCGACCGAGAUUCAAACAGUCUAUGGCUGGCUUAAGCUACACAUGUAGUAGUGAUCAGUCACAAUCUUGUGUAAUGAAUCUCUACAAGAAACUACGGCGUGCUAAUUAUUUAGCCUACUCCAUAGGGAGCCAUUUGUUUUUAAUCUGUUUAAUGAUCAAUUACUAAUCCUUGCAGAUAAUCGCUGGAGAUUUAGGAAGCACAGUCUGAGCAUAUAAAACCUCAUGUGCAGAUAAGAUGAGAGCCAACAAGCCACUUCAUUGCUCAGUAGAGAUUAAAGCAUAACUAAACCAAAGAAGCAGCUCACUUAGAUUUGAUUGGUGCACUCGUUUUCUCUUUUUAGGCUAAGAACAUUUUUACCAAGUACAGAAAAAAAGGGACAUAACUUGUUACUACUGUAGCCUGGAUUACCAGGUUACAGUGGUAAAAGCCACACAAAAGAAAACUGAUGCAGCCACUACAUUUAAAGUAAUGGUAAAACUUUUGGAUUUAAAAAAGACUGAAGGUUAACAAUCUAGGAGUGUUAAUGCAGCCAUAAAUGAAUUGAAAACCGGAUGGGUCAGCAGGCAUCAGCUGAAUGUCAAUCCAUGUGGGCACUAGGCAGAUUGGUUGUACAGAAAUCUACCAUUCAACUUCUGUACAACCAGUCUACCCCCCCCUUCUUGUGUGGGGGGGCGGGCGACGGCGAUAGAAAUGAUAAUUUCUGUUUUAUAAUAUGUUUGAGUAAACUUAUUCUAACGAACAUAGUUUUUGGUGGAGCGUGCCAAACCUCAUUUCCAGAAGAGAAAAAUGCAGUGUCUCUGCCCUUGCCCACCUUUUACCUGCUGCCUUUCAUGAGUGCCCAUCUGACAAAGAGGAGGAGACUUUGUCCCCUAAAUAUCUCUGGCUUUUGUCAAACCACUGUUCUACUGGAGAUUGUGAAUUAUCAGCUGAUGGCCUUCAGCUGGCAGAAGUAAGUUAAAAAAAAAGCCAGAGCAGGGCAUGUACUUUACCUGGCUUUUGCAAGUCACAUCAGAAAAGUAAUGCUAACUUAUAUUUUUAUUUAUUUAUUUUUUUCCUUCUACUAUAAAUUACAUUUCAGUGCAGUAGUGAAAUUCGGGCUAAAUGUUGGUUUGGAUAAGUGUAAACUUUCUAAUG